rnacentral:lncRNA from 1 species
CUUAAUCUCCCCUCUUUCACAAAAAUAAAAUAAUAAUAAUAUUAAUAAGAAAUUCAAUCUACUGGUUAUUUUUAGAAUUCAACCCAUAAAUAUUUUUUUAAAUAACCAAUAGAAAAAGAAAAAAAGACUCGAGAAUACAAAUAGUCAUAACAUACUAAAUAAACAUAAAUAACGCAUAAAAAUCUGGAAAAUCUUAUAAUAUAGAACAAAAGAAAAAAACUUAAAAAAUUAAAUAAAAUGGAACGGAUGGAGUAUAUAUCUACUUCUAAAAUUAUUAUCCUAUAUAUUUUUC